rnacentral:rRNA from 1 species
AAUACCGGAUAGGACCUCAAGACGCAUGUCUUCUGGUGGAAAGCUUUUGCGGUGUGGGAUGGGCCCGCGGCCUAUCAGCUUGUUGGUGGGGUGACGGCCUACCAAGGCGACGACGGGUAGCCGGCCUGAGAGGGUGUCCGGCCACACUGGGACUGAGAUACGGCCCAGACUCCUACGGGAGGCAGCAGUGGGGAAUAUUGCACAAUGGGCGCAAGCCUGAUGCAGCGACGCCGCGUGGGGGAUGACGGCCUUCGGGUUGUAAACCUCUUUCACCAUCGACGAAGGUCCGGGUUUUCUCGGAUUGACGGUAGGUGGAGAAGAAGCACCGGCCAACUACGUGCCAGCAGCCGCGGUAAUACGUAGGGUGCGAGCGUUGUCCGGAAUUACUGGGCGUAAAGAGCUCGUAGGUGGUUUGUCGCGUUGUUCGUGAAAUCUCACGGCUUAACUGUGAGCGUGCGGGCGAUACGGGCAGACUAGAGUACUGCAGGGGAGACUGGAAUUCCUGGUGUAGCGGUGGAAUGCGCAGAUAUCAGGAGGAACACCGGUGGCGAAGGCGGGUCUCUGGGCAGUAACUGACGCUGAGGAGCGAAAGCGUGGGGAGCGAACAGGAUUAGAUACCCUGGUAGUCCACGCCGUAAACGGUGGGUACUAGGUGUGGGUUUCCUUCCUUGGGAUCCGUGCCGUAGCUAACGCAUUAAGUACCCCGCCUGGGGGAGUACGGCCGCAAGGCUAAAACUCAAAGGAAUUGACGGGGGCCCGCACAAGCGGCGGAGCAUGUGGAUUAAUUCGAUGCAACGCGAAGAACCUUACCUGGGUUUGACAUGCACAGGACGCGUCUAGAGAUAGGCGUUCCCUUGUGGCCUGUGUGCAGGUGGUGCAUGGCUGUCGUCAGCUCGUGUCGUGAGAUGUUGGGUUAAGUCCCGCAACGAGCGCAACCCUUGUCUCAUGUUGCCAGCGGGUAAUGCCGGGGACUCGUGAGAGACUGCCGGGGUCAACUCGGAGGAAGGUGGGGAUGACGUCAAGUCAUCAUGCCCCUUAUGUCCAGGGCUUCACACAUGCUACAAUGGCCGGUACAAAGGGCUGCGAUGCCGUAAGGUUAAGCGAAUCCUUUUAAAGCCGGUCUCAGUUCGGAUUGGGGUCUGCAACUCGACCCCACGAAGUCGGAGUCGCUAGUAAUCGCAGAUCAGCAACGCUGCGGUGAAUACGUUCCCGGGCCUCGUACACACCGCCCGUCACGUCAUGAAAGUCGGUAACACCCGAAGCCAGUGGCCUAACC